rnacentral:rRNA from 1 species
CGAAUGGGGUGAUUCAUCGUCGACGAUGCUGGCUCCCGUUGGUGUGCGAUGCUCCGGAUGGAUCCUCGUGGUCCAUUAGCGAGGGCACGCCAUCUUCGGCUUGAAUGUUCCGGCAACGUAGUCGUGCACUUCUCCCCUAGUAGGACGUCGCGACCCGUUGUGUGUCGGUCUACGGUCCGAGUGGGCGCCUGUCGCGUCGCUUCUUGCGCACGUGGCAGACCCUCGGUCGCCUGGCCGGCUGCACGACGGUACUCGCACGGUAUCGGGCCGCAACCAAUCCAUUCUCGAAUGUGUGUGCGUCGGGCCCGCCGCAAGCUCGGUCAGUAUACCCGGAGGUGCGGACCUAGCGCCGUCCCCGGGCCUGACCAGCUGUUAGCAGGCGGUGUCCUCGGACUGGCCAAGCUUCGAAUUACCGGUCGGCGACGCUAUUGCUUUGGGUACUCUCAGGACCCGUCUUGAAACACGGACCAAGGAGUCUAACAUGUGCGCGAGUCAUUGGGAUGCAUAAACCUAAAGGCGAAAUGAAAGUGAAGGUCGACCUUCGCGUCGACCUAGGGAGGAUGGGCCGCGUUACGAUGCGGCCUCGCACUCACGGGGCGUUUCGUUCUCAUUGCGAGAAGAGGCGCACCUAGAGCGUACACGUUGGGACCCGAAAGAUGGUGAACUAUGCCUGGUCAGGACGAAGUCAGGGGAAACCCUGAUGGAGGUCCGUAGCGAUUCUGACGUGCAAAUCGAUCGUCGGAACUGGGUAUAGGGGCGAAAGACUAAUCGAACCAUCUAGUAGCUGGUUCCCUCCGAAGUUUCCCUCAGGAUAGCUGGCACUCGCUCGUUCCUAUUGAACGCGUGCGAGUCUCAUCUGGUAAAGCGAAUGAUUAGAGGCCUUGGGGCCGAAACGACCUCAACCUAUUCUCAAACUUUAAAUGGGUGAGAUCUCUGGCUUGCUUGGAUUAUGAAGCCACGAGAUUUUGGAUCAGAGUGCCAAGUGGGCCAAUUUUGGUAAGCAGAACUGGCGCUGUGGGAUGAACCAAACGCAGAGUUAAGGCGCCUAAGUCGACGCUUAUGGGAUACCAUGAAAGGCG